UAUAUCUCCAUCGUUUCUUAACCAAAACUCAUGAAAUUGGUCUCAAUUUAAAGCUUAUAACUAGAAGAAUACAUCCUUACCAAUUUCAAGGCUUGAAAUCCAUGAAAACUUGCCGGAGAGAGCUCAAUAAUUUCGGCCAAAUUUCAAACUCUCCAAACUUGACGUCCAAUUUGCUUGGUUUUUCUUCUCCGAGCUUCGUAAGAACAUCCUAAAGCUUCCUAUGAGCUUAAAAUCCCUUGAAACAUCCAUAAUUAUGACCACAUGAACAAUACUCAAAUUGGGAGUGAUGGUUUCUCAUGUUUUUGAGGGUUUCACGAUUUAAAAAUGGCAUAAAUGAACUCAGGGAUUUGCAAGGAGUUUGAAUCUUACAUUCUUGACGUCGAUCUAUGCAUGAAAUGUGAGUUUGGCGUUCGUCCGUACAAAGUUGAUGGAAACAGAAGAAAAUCAAGAGGGAGGAGAAAGAGAGUGCACGGGAAGGAGAGAAAGAGAGGGAGUUGGAGUAUGUGUGUGGUCCAAAAUUGUCCACUCCAACCAACCAAAACAACAAAACAACUUAAUUCCAAUUAGUUGCACGUACUUAAGAAAAUAACUUGGACCUAAACCUAUGUCAUGUAUGCACACUACUACCCACGUGUAAGGGUAAAAUCGUCCUUUCACACCAUCGAUAAAAUUAUCCCAGGACGGGUUGUGACAAAUAUUCUAGCCAAAUACAUCAAUUUGAGUUGUUUAAACCUAAUCUAAUUAGCUGCUUAGUACGACGGUCUAGUUGUGACAACUCGUCCCUAGUUCUAUGAUUUUAUAAAUUUUAAAAGUGUGAAUUUAUGAAAAUGCCCUAGAGGUGAUGACACACCCCGAUCUAGAGGAUCCAGGCGUGCUGGCCGUCACGUGAGCGUGACGUAACCAUAAGUGCGACACGGAAGCAAAACAAUAACAUACAAGAAGGAAUUCAACCCAACUCUAGCAGAACAAUCUAUUAGAAUAAUAGGAUGAGCUAAGAUAAACACAUAAAUUCAGAGCAUAGGUUUAGGUGCAGUCAAGUAUGACUAAAACAAAAGUACAUCACCCUUAGGUGAGUCCUACAUGUCAAGCGUUUGUCAGAAUGCCGGAAAAAGACCUCGAGAGCCACCAACUGCUAACUAGAACCUGGAGGGGCGCAUAACAAAGAUGAGUGGGUCAAUAAAAUCAAAGAUUUUCCAAAACAUUUUAUUUAAAACGUUUCUAACCCCUCACCGUAAAACCUGUAUACUUUCCCAGAAAAAUAAUAUAUAAACAUAUAUAUACACAUAUCAUCAAAACUCAGCUCAUAUCCAUCAACAUAACAUCUCAGAAAUAGUGUGCCACGCCAUGCCAAAUAUAAUCAGAAAUGCAUCAAUAUCAAUCAGGUGAAAUAAUAAAUCAACCGAAGACCCUACAAUAGUCCUGUACGGCUGAUUCUAAAGCUCAAUAUCCCACUCAACCGGAGUCACCACAGUGACCUAUACGGCCCUGCCGGAGUCACCAACUAUGACCUGUACAGCACUACACUGCAUAUCACUCGGAACUACGUAAAGUAGUCUGUACGAUGAAAGGUGUAUAAUUAUGCUCUAGUGCUUCUCUCAUCAAUCAUCAGCGCGCAUAACUAAGGUCACCCACUAGUCGGAAUCACAUCUAGUGAUCUAUACGACUAGCAUGUCGGAACCCUCACAUGGUCUGUACGACAUCCACCUACUUGGAUCCAAGACGAGCGUGCGGUGUGGUGAAUAACAAUAUAAGCACUAACACCUAGGGUGCAGGUUAUGAGCUUCAAUGCAAUUCUCAUAAAUAAAUCAUCUGAAUAAUAUAAAAACUCACCUGUGCAUCCACCGCGUCAAUUAACAUAUAUAUGCAUCAAUUAUCAAACUAAAUAUCUCAACAUUUGCAUGCAUGGCAAUUUAAAUCAUAAUUUUCAUAUAAACGCAUUUUCUGGGAAAAACAGUUGUAUAUAGGUAAUACGAAAACAAAACUGCCCAUUCACUGGUAAGUCGAUGGGUCGUAACCCCCGUGACGUCCCUGGAUACGCUCGUCCUCGGGAUAAGUGUCACCUAUAUGCGAAACAACUAUAAAAACGUUAAUUUAAACACAUAACCAAUCAUUCGAAAUAACUUCUCAUACGAUGCUCAAUUUGGGUAUAUGAAUAUACCACAUCGACCUACUCGACGUCAUGGACGUCGGGAUAUUUUUAGAAAAAUUUUUGGAUGGCCCACGCGCCCCCACGCGCCAGGACAGGCACGGGGACACGCGCCCCCAUGCGCAUCGUCCCCUACCUCGACUCGCCGGACUGGUUUUUCCGGCGGUCGGUUUCCAGCCAAUUUUCAAUUUGCUUGUUCUCCUUCGUUUCUCAACCGUUCUCUUCGUAUUUUAUACCAAAAUGAAGCCCCAAACAUGUAGAAUCACGUUGGACUAGUUUUAGGGUCGAAAACUCACUGGAUUUUACCUUAGGAAGCACGAUAAUUCGGGAAAUUUUGAGGACUUCGUUCUCAGUCCUCCGACGUCCAAAUCCUUCAAAUGAAGUACUCCGAGCUUCCUUGGGACCUCACUAAGGUUGCUAUAAGCUUGAAAUUCCCUGAAACACAACAUUUUACGUGUGCAUGAACAGUGACCAAAAAUGGAGGUUUCAGGUUCAUGUGAAAUCAAGGGUCCUACGUCCUAAAACUAGCAUCAAUCAACUCAAAACAUCACGAGGAUGAAGAUUCUUACCUUGUUUGCUUCGAUCCACUGAGUUUUGAGGGGUUUUGGGUGUUGCCGUACGUUUUAGGGUGAGGGAGAGAGUGAGAGUCGUGAGGGAGAGAGAGACAGGACAGAGAGGGAGAGAGAGAGACACGGGGAGGAGAGAACAGGGAUGUGUGAGAUGGUCCACUCCCAUCCACACCAUCCAUUCACCUAAUUUCCCUAACCACAAAAAAUUUCAAAACUAAAAUUUUAUAAAGCAAAAAUUUAAAUCCAAAACUUAUAAAAUUUAAUCCAAAUAACGUCACACCCACGUACCUUAAUACCCACCAAGGGUAAAUCCGUCAAUUCACGUCCCCGAUAUGAAAUUCUCGGGGCGGGCUGUGAUAGGUGAAGGUUUUGACCUUCAUUGAACAACAUGUAGUGAGAUGUACGAAAUAUUCUUUUAGUGUAUUCUUAAAGUAAUCGACGCGUAGGCGCAAGUAUAAGCGAAUUUGGAGUUACGGUUAAAGUUUCACGGAGCUAUGAACCCGAAAGUACUUUGAAGAAAUCACUAUUUUAAUUAUAUUAUAUUAUUUUAUACUACUAAAUUAUUUUGCCACAUGUGUGUGGCUGAGAGGGGAAUAGAAUAGAAUUGGGGAGGAGGAGAAACAGAGGAGAAGGAUUGGGCAGAGCUGCCCAAUCAGAGGAGAAAAGAAGAGUUCCGGGAGAGAAAUGAGGGAGGUGGGACAAAUCAAAGGAGGAGACAGGAAGAAGAAGA
rnacentral:lncRNA from 1 species